UUAGUUAGCAUUGUGAAAUGGAUUCGAAUCGUGAGUUGUCAUAACUGGAAAAAAAUUGCUAUUAGUUAUUGUUAGGUUAGUUGGAAAAUUAUGAGUGUUAAUAUGUUAGACUAAUAUAGUGGGAAAAUUGAAUGUUAAUUAUCAGUUAGCAAUGGAAUUUGAUGAAUGUUAAUAGUGGACUUAGUUUUGGUUAAGUUCGUGAUGCAAAUGUUUAUUGGGAAUUGGAAAUGUUAAGUUGCUUGUUAUUAUUAGUUUUGAUUAUUUGGAAAAUUGGUUGGUGGUAAUAAUG
rnacentral:lncRNA from 1 species